AAUUGUUAAAAAGACCAACAAGCCUGCUGCUGGUCGCAGUACUGUAUUCUUUUUUCUUCCGAAUUUCAGCAGCGUGACUGCUGUGGGCUGGAUCUAAAAAAAGAGAUGGGGAUGGCCUCAUCAAGCAAUUGAGCAGAAAAUAGUCUUGUCAUCUGUAUACCGAUUGGAAAGAGGAAAAUGGUUUUACUCAGUCUGAAUUACAGGAACAUUCACAAGUCUCCUUGUAUGCACUGCAUGUUUAAAUUCUCCCCACAAAUCUGCAACAAUAUUCAGUCUGGAGGCUCUGAAGACCACUCCAAAGCCUUUACCUUUCUUUCUUCAUUCCCCGUGUAGAUAUAUUCUCCUCGUCGAUCAAAAGAAGCUACCACAUUGAGAUCAGAAUCAUCAUCUACCGGUAGGACAACAUGCUUCGAAUCAGACAAUGUUAGCAUUACAGGCGCAGAUUUCAUCGGACAUACUAACACCUUGUUUCUAAAGAAAUAGAAAAACAAGAAACAAAUAAAUUUUCAAACACCAAGCAAUGUAUCAUCAAAAACAUGAAAAACACAACAAGGGAAGUAUGUUUUUACCUCUGGGGAAAAAAAAAAAGAAUCAUAUUUUGUACUCAUAAACAAGUGUAAGCAGGAUUAAUAAAUUAAUUCAGUAUCAUUCAUAUUCUAAA